CGAACGGUGAGUAAUACGUGAGUGACCUACCUUUGACUCUGGGAUAAGCCUGGGAAACUGGGUCUAAUACCGGAUACGACCAAUCUCUGCAUGGGGUGUUGGUGGAAAGCGUUAUGGAGUGGUUUUAGAUGGGCUCACGGCCUAUCAGCUUGUUGGUGAGGUAAUGGCUUACCAAGGCGACGACGGGUAGCCGGCCUGAGAGGGUGACCGGCCACACUGGGACUGAGACACGGCCCAG
rnacentral:rRNA from 1 species